UACGAAGGGGGCUAGCGUUGUUCGGAAUUACUGGGCGUAAAGCGUGCGCAGGCGGCUUCUCAAGUCAGGGGUGAAAGGCCCAGAGCUCAACUCUGGAAUUGCCUUUUGAGACUGAGGGGCUUGAGUACGAGAGAGGUGAGUGGAAUUCCCAGUGUAGAGGUGAAAUUCGUAGAUAUUGGGAAGAACACCGGUGGCGAAGGCGGGCUCACUGGCUCGUAACUGACGCUCAUGCACGACAGCGUGGGGGAUCAAAACAGG
rnacentral:rRNA from 1 species